UUAAAUUGAAGAGGUUGAACAUGGCUCAGAUUGAACGAUGGCGGCAGGCCGAACACAUGCAAGUCGAACGGU
rnacentral:rRNA from 1 species